rnacentral:lncRNA from 10 species
AGAGAUGAGGUCUCACUAUAUUGCCCAGGCUGGUCUUGAACUCCUGGCCUUAAGCAAUCCUCCUGCCUUGGCCCCCCAAAGUGCUGGAGUUACAGAUGUGAGCCUCUGUGCUCAGCCCAUCCUUGGCUGUUCAAGUGUAGAGAAAUAAAAACAUCAGUAGGAGGGGAAGGAGGAAGGAAGGAGAAGAAAGAGGAAGAAUAGGAGGAGAAGAGGAAGAGAGGAAGAAGUCGUGAACAGCCCUCCUGCAUUUUGCAUCAGGUAGAAAAGUCAGUUGAAUGUUGGGAAGAACACAAAUAGUAAGUACAUAGAUUUUCAUGUAAUAAAAAUACCCAUUGUUAUCAAUGCAGGAAUGUGC